rnacentral:lncRNA from 1 species
ACCUGCCACGACCCUGCUGUGGGAGCUGCCCUGAUCCGCUAGCCGCCGCCAACAGCUCCUUUGCCAGGACGAGACCUCUGGGAGGCAGGAAUCCACUCUGCCUCGGCAUCCUCUCGUUGCUCUCCUCUUUCUCCAUCCUGUAGUGUGGGGGUAUUUUCCCGUUAUGCAUGCGCAUCUCUCCCACCAGACCCAAGUGGAUUAUCGACCUCAAAAACAUCGGGUGGCUCAACACACACCUCCUCCCAACCAGACCUGUGGGGUAUUCACCUGAUACACAACAGGUGGCUGGUGCACACCUUUGCGCAAUCUGAUCCACGCUAUACACGCCUGAUAAGGGUGGGCCUGCAUGCUCUGUCCUCAGCUAGAACCGUGGGACACUCGGCAGAUAAAGGACUAACUACCUCAUCCGGACCCUGGGGGUUGAGCAGAGGGAGGCGUCACCAGCUGCUGUGAGAUCAUGGCACGGAGCCCUCAGCCCUGGACCAGGGGAGAUAGCUAGGAUUCUGAAGGAACCAAGUUACACAGGAUUAGCAUCGUUUUGUUCUCAUUUUGUUUCUCAAAAAUUAUUUUUUUCAGUUACUGGUGGGGCACUUUAUAAAACAGUUGACUUGAAUUCUAAGUAGAAGGAUUCUUAAUUGGGCCUUUGUGGGAUAUAAAUCAAGGUAA